UGGGGGAUAUUGCACAAUGGGCGAAAGCCUGAUGCAGCGACGCCGCGUGGGGGAUGAAGGCCUUCGGGUUGUAAACUUCUUUUGCUCUGAACAAGGCAUGCCUUUGGGGUGUGUUGAGUGUAGGGGUUGAUUAGCGCCGGCUAACUACGUGCCAGCAGCCGCGGUAAUACGUAGGGGGCUAGCGUUGUCCGGAAUCACUGGGCGUAAAGGGUUCGCAGGCGGAAAUGCAAGUCAGGUGUAAAAGGCAGUAGCUUAACUACUGUAAGCAUUUGAAACUGCAUAUCUUGAGAAGAGUAGAGGUAAGUGGAAUUUUUAGUGUAGCGGUGAAAUGCGUAGAUAUUAAAAAGAAUACCGGUGGCAAAGGCGACUUACUGGGCUCAUUCUGACGCUGAGGAACGAAAGCGUGGGUAGCAAACAGG
rnacentral:rRNA from 1 species